AAUAAAUAACAUUCAAAUAUAAAUCUUCUUAAAGCUUUUGGAUUCUGACAACAGACUGUCUUUUACCACCAACAGGACAAUAGAUGCAAAAGUACCAGAAAAAAUCUGACCUCCGAGGUGAUUCCCCAAAAUGAAACUCUGCCAGUCUUCACUAAAUACAAAAGUAAAGGCUCCUCUGCUGAUGGCAAUAAGGGGUUGUCCUCAGAUUGGAUGUUGUAGCGAUACUGGCAAAAGUCCAAUCCAAUAACUCCUGCAAUGAUCAUAGUUUCAUUCAGAUUAAUGGACGUCAGAGACAGAGCUCUACAUCUUUAAGGUUCCCAUGUGUUUCCCCCACAGCGAUAUUUCAGAGUUACCCAAAACAAAAUGCUGGCAACCAGGUUAAAUGCCAGCUGUCUGCAGGAAAGAGCUGUUGCCGACUUCUGCAAGAAAGACGGGAGGUCAUUGUUCGCUGCAUGACUGAGGGACGACUUAACAACCUGCUUGAUGUGUUGCGGGCUAGACAAGCUGUGACCCGUGAGAUGUACGAGAUCAUCCCUGCGGCCCUGACCUUGACCGCACGCACACGCUGUUUGCUUGAUAUCUGUACCUGCCUUGGUGAAAAUGUUGCUAUCUUGGUGGCCACAACUUUAGGUUUAGUAUCCACCGAAAAUACUCAGACCACCCCUAGGUGGCAGGCUGGAUAAGUAAAGCCAACGUGCCGCUACUCUUAUGGAAUUGCAAAAUGCAGUAACUGCACAUGAAACAACUUAUAUCAGACUGAUAUAAGAUUUGUGUGGCACUGUAAUGUGUUGGGAUUGUUAGUGUGUUCUUGUUUGGACUACUCUGUAACAGAUGAGG